rnacentral:rRNA from 1 species
CCUACGGGUGGCUGCAGUGGGGAAUAUUGGACAAUGGGGGCAACCCUGAUCCAGCCAUGCCGCGUGUGUGAAGAAGGCCCUCGGGUUGUAAAGCACUUUCAGUGAGGAAGAACGCCUGGUGGUUAAUACCCAUCAGGAAAGACAUCACUCACAGAAGAAGCACCGGCUAACUCCGUGCCAGCAGCCGCGGUAAUACGGAGGGUGCGAGCGUUAAUCGGAAUUGCUGGGCGUAAAGCGCGCGUAGGUGGCUUGAUAAGCCGGUUGUGAAAGCCCCGGGCUCAACCUGGGAACGGCAUCCGGAACUGUCAAGCUAGAGUGCAGGAGAGGAAGGUAGAAUUCCCGGUGUAGCGGUGAAAUGCGUAGAGCUCGGGAGGAAUACCAGUGGCGAAGGCGGCCUUCUGGACUGACACUGACACUGAGGUGCGAAAGCGUGGGUAGCAAACAGGAUUAGAUACCCUAGUAGUC